GACGUAGGGCGCGAGCGUUGUCCGGAUUUAUUGGGCGUAAAGAGCUCGUAGGCGGCUUGUUGCGUCGACUGUGAAAACCCGCGGCUUAACUGCGGGCUUGCAGUUGAUACGGGCAGGCUAGAGUUCGGUAGGGGAGACUGGAAUUCCUGGUGUAGCGGUGAAAUGCGCAGAUAUCAGGAAGAACACCUAUGGCGAAGGCAGCUCUCUGGGACGGUACUGACGCUGAGACGCGAAAGCGUGGGGAGCAAACAGG
rnacentral:rRNA from 1 species